AACAGCUUUGGGAUGUCUAGUUCCAUUUGGACAGAAUUCUAGAAGAGGAAAAUAAAAGGCUACAAAGUAAGGAAGUCAAACCUGCCUUCGGGGAAGAUAAACAUGCUGACUGGAUGCAUUUGGCUUCUUUUUGGGAGUGAAAGGUUUCAGCAACCUGGAGCCCCCACAGCUGUGGAGACCCUGCUUCUAUGAACUUCCCCUCUCCACGACGCUGCACAACAGCUUCGUACACCCAGCCGAUUUUGCAGACAGCAAGCACAACAACUUAACUAGAGCCUGGGAGGAUAAUCUCAGAAUGAAUUAUUCACCAGUGAGACAAUUGUGGCUGCACAGAGGGAAUACAGAUGCCCCUGUGGGGCUACAUCUCACCAACUUCCUUAUUCAGUUUUAAUGCGCUUUCCAGCCCUCGAAUCACAGACACCCCACACUCAGCCUUCCGUGCUGCACUCACUGAUCUACUAGUUACGAAGCAUUGCACAUUGCAUCACUCACUCAUCUACAGUUCACGGAAUACCUGCAAUCUUCUCACCAGGACACCUGGCUAUGCCCCGUCAGUGGGGGAGUAGCUUAGCACAAUGACUGAAUGCAGAGACUCUGGAACUGGACUGCUGGAAUUUGAUCCCAGGUCUCAGAUUUAAAACUCGAUUUCCGCCCCCCUCAAAAUCUGUGCAUUUAGAUACCAUCUGUCACGUGACACGUGGAGGGCAAAUGAUAGAAAACCUCAAAGGGGAUAUUUCCCUGCACGUGAUCAUGCACAGAAAACAGCUUUCCUUUUUCUUCUUCUCUUCUCAGUCUUCCUGAGAAUGCUAGCAACAGCACACUCUUCAUGUUCCCAAACACCCUAUUUCCUCCACCCCAGAGGUGCUCACUGGGGCUCAUCUAUUCACCUCACGUGCAAGAUGAAGAGGGCAAUUUUAUGUAGUAAAGAUAUAUGGGACAAGCCAACCUCAAGUUCACGUCCGUUAAAGCAUUUCUCUGUUGGCAACAUUUUUACAAGCCUCUCACAGCUAUAUGCUUAAUUAAAAUAAAAGGGUGAUAUACA